rnacentral:rRNA from 1 species
UACGUAGGUGGCGAGCGUUGUCCGGAAUUACUGGGUGUAAAGGGAGCGUAGGCGGGAUAUUAAGUUGAAUGUAUAAACUAUCGGCUCAACUGGUAGAAGCGUUCAAAACUGAUAUUCUUGAGUGAAGUAGAGGCAGGCGGAAUUCCUAGUGUAGCGGUGAAAUGCGUAGAUAUACGGAGGAACACCAGUGGCGAAGGCGGAUUGCUGGACAGUAACUGACGCUGAGGCUCGAAAGCAUGGGUAGCGAA